rnacentral:rRNA from 1 species
AUUGAACGCUGGCGGCAGGCCUAACACAUGCAAGUCGAGCGGAGGGGCGGAGGGGUGCGUGUUGCUUAGGAAUCUGACAGUUCGUGGGGGAUAAGGUCAGGAAAUGGGCGCUGAUACAGCAUACUAUCAGCUGAGCCUAGGUCGGAUUAGCUAGUGGGUGGGGUAAAGGCCUACCAUGGCGACGAUCCGUAACUGGUCUGAGAGGAGGAUCAGCCACACUGGAACUGAGACACGGUCCAGACUCCUACGGGAGGCAGCAGUGGGGAAUAUUGGACAAUGGGCGAAAGCCUGAUCCAGCCAUGCCGCGUGUGUGAAGAAGGUCUUCGGGUUGUAAAGCACUUUAAGCUGGGAGGCGUUACCCGCAGAAGAAGCACCGGCUAACUCCGUGCCAGCAGCCGCGGUAAUUC